AUGACGAAAUACAAUAUGGCUCCAAGGUACAUAAUUGCUGCUUUGAAAGACAAAGAUUCAGAAAACCUCACGAAUGUUAUCCAGCCCAACCCACUUGGUUUUGAGGACACCCAUAAUCGCUGUCCAUCUGCUUUGUCCUCCGAAACUAGUUGGAGUGGAUUGGAUAGGAGGCGCGCCGACCUGAACCUGCCGGAAAACCCAGCCGGAGCUCUUGGUAUUACGCCAGAAACAGUUACAAACUCUUGCAGUUAG